ACAAUUAGAGUGAAGCCCUCAUGAAUGGGAUUAGUGGUCUUCUAAAAUGAACCUGAGAGAGUUCUUUCAUCUUCUUCCUGCCAUGUGAAGACAUAAAGAGAUGAUCAUCUAGGAACCAGGCCCUCACCAGACACAAAUGCCUGUGCCACUGACCUCGGAAGGAGAAGGAUCUGCAGAGCACGUUCUCAGGACAGCCACUCCUGAGGCUGGUGGGACUCGUGAUUGCUACUUGAAUUGGAAUAAUUAGAACGGACAUGAAAAAGGAAUGAAGACAUAUCCCUUCAAAUUUAAACCUACAACUUAAAAUGCAAUUUCAUGAGCACUGUGGGAGGCCUGAGUUUUUACUGCUGGAGCCAAUAGUGAAGAUCUAUCUGGAAAUGUGAUUACCUACAGUAAGCACAAUCACAGAUUUCGGUUGACAACUGGGAGGUCUCCUUCCUUCCUGCGAUCAU
rnacentral:lncRNA from 1 species